rnacentral:lncRNA from 1 species
AUCUCGAUACAGCUGCUGCGGAGGUGUCCUUGGAUCCCCCGGGUGUCAGGUCGCCAAGGUAGGACUUGUCACCCAGAAUGCUGCUUGUAUCAGAAGCUGUGCUGCAGCCUCUAAUGCAGACCUGGGUGAUCAAUAUGCAUUUGAAAAAAUUAACUUACUAAUUUUCAGUUGAUGAAAUUUUUAUGAGCUUAAUUGCACUUACGAAAACCAUAGAGUAAUUUUAUUUGACCAUGUUUGUUUGCAGCUUCAUGUUCAUAACCAAAAAGAAAACCUAGAGGGCUUUGUGAAGACUUUUGUCAAGGUUGCACCUCCUGAUGGCAGUCACGGUGUGUUUGCAGUAAAUUGUGAGAUGUGCUAUACAGCCAAAGGCUUGGAACUUACUAGAGUGACGGUGGUUGAUUCCAGCCUCCAGGUGGUCUAUGAUACAUUCGUGAAACCAGAUGAAGAAGUCAUUGACUACAACACUAGGUUUUCUGGUGUGGUGGAAGAUGAUUUGAAGAACACAACAACAUCAAUUCGUGAUGUCCAAGCUGUUUUGUUGAACCUGUUUAGUGCUGAUACUAUAAUAAUUGGACAUAGCUUUGCAUCUAGUCUGUAUGCUCUGAAGUUAAUUCAUUCUUCACUUGUGGACACUUCAGUUAUGUUUCCUCAUCGGCUAGGCUUGCCUCACAAAAGAUCCCUUAGGAAUCUGGUGGCUGAAUACCUGCAGAGAAUCAUCCAGGAUGAUGGUAAGAGCCCAUUUGCUCAUGAAUAAUAUCAGUAUCCUCAGUCUGACAAGACUGAAUAAGCCAUGAGAUCCAUAGCAAAGAUUUGCUGUCUGAAAUGCUUAGGGGAGGAUACCGGGUUCUUCUCUAUGGAUUCUCUUCUAUGGUGGAGAAUCCUAAAGCAUCUGCUUGUGCUUAUGUAAAAAGCAUUGCCCACCCACUGCCUGGAACAGUCCUG